AUGCGCAGCGCGGCGGCGGGGCGGCCGCGGCGCCGCGCGGGGGGAGCCGCGCAGCAGCCCCUGCCCCGAGCGAAGCACGGCGUGUAGGAAGGAGCGAGCGAGCGUGCGAGCGAGAGGGAGGGAGGGAGCGAGGGAGGGAGGAGGGAGGGAGGGAGCGAGGGAGGGAGCGAGGGAGGGAGGCAGGGGAGGAAGGACAGGGAGAGUGCGUGUGUGCGAGAGGGGGGAGAGGCAGGGGAAACUGCAGAGAGCGAGAAGAAAAGUGCGGUAGAAGCCCGGCCCCGGAGGAUCUCCUCCAAGAUUAAAGCUAGUCCUAAGAGCAACCGAAUUGCUGUGACUGACUUUCACGGGACUGUAAAGAGAGAUCGGCUCAAAAGUCCAAAGAGAAAUGAGGUGUCCGGUAUGGAAGUGCAUCUCAGUCAACCGCCAGCUCCUUUUGCCGAGGCUGGAAAUGGUUUUAACAGGCGCCUUGCAAAAGUGGAUGGCACAACAGGCUGGAAUGCUUGUGAAAGUGGAAUGUUUGUAAAAGUGGAGACCAUAAACAGUCGACGUGUAUUUCCAUCACACGCCAGAGGGAAAAAAAAUAAAGAAGAAAAGAAGAAAACAACCACAAACCUGUCAGCUGCCUAUAAAACUCCAGAAGAGAAGUGCUCUCAGUUUUACACUGGAGUUCUUGGUCCAGAGAGGACAAUAUACUCCUACCUCUUUUGAAAUGAUCCGGAGACUCACAACACACAGACAAUCACUCGAAGCACGAAUUUCCUUUUUUCCUUUCUUUUUUUCUUUCUUUCUUUUUUUUUUUUUUUCCAAGAACUGUUCGGCCCAUUGUUUGAACUGGGAUUCAGUGCAGAGCCCAAAGAGAAAAGGAAAAAAAAAUCCUGAGAGCCCAGUUUGGUAUUGCACAGAGAGUGAGCUGACAAAAUAUUAUAGCGUGUUUCCUAGAAGUACAUGGUGAGAGCCGGCGGUGUGUUCCCGAAAAGAGGUUGCUUUUUAUUUCCACCACCACCCCCCUCAAGAUUGUGAUCCUCUUUGUAUGUCUUUCUUUUGAUCCCACAAAGAGAAUGCAAUACACAUAUAUGUGUUUGCUCUCCAUACAAGAAAUGCCAUACAAUGGAAUAUGUGGCCGGUUAGUCCUCAUAAUGCUUAGUUUUGCUGUAAUUAAUUGAAAACAGUUAUUAGGUCGUCAUUGGCAAUAGCGUAAAUAAUUGCAGCAGAUUUUUACUUAAAAUUGACCGGUCAUAGAGUGAUAGAUCGAUUCGAGGUAUAAAAAUGAUGUAUCAAAACAUCAAUGUCGAUUAUUUGAAAUAUUGUAGUCGAAUCUUUUUAUUGCUUCAUCGGUUAAGUGUCUGAAAGUGCUGUGUUCCAACAUAUAUUUAUGUUGUCAAUACUGUCAAAACUGUCAGUUUUAUUACAGUGGAUUUGUAAUACAUUUCGGAUUUGCUCAUUUACAUAAAAUGUCCACCUCAGAUACCCCUCCUUUUCUCCAUCUCUGGAAAUCUGUGUCAGUUUAAUGAAAGGAUUCAAGACUCAUACCUGAAGAGGGGGGAAAAAAAGAAAAAGGAAAGGAGAAAAAAAAAAAAAAAGUAGGUGUUACUCCAUUAUGUCCAAUUUUAACAUCCGUUUGGAAAGCUUGGGCUAUUUCUGACUCGCCAAAAGAGGGAAUUCCUCCCCCCUUCCCCCUCCCUCCCCCAGCCCCGCUUAUUUCCCCAGUAGAAUUUAAAUACUUUUCUACUCUCACACCUAGAUUAAACCAUCCAGAAGAAUUGAGAAAUUGUACAGGGUUACAGUGAGGAGCCAAAGCACACCUGUGAGUGCCGCACCCUUCCCAAAGAGAGCAACAGCCCCCCGAACCACGCAUACACGCACAGGGUUUUGAAUCCUGCUAGAAAGAAGGAGACAAAAGGAGCAAUAAAUAUGUGUGUGAUCCUUUCCUAACGGUUUGG
ensembl:lncRNA